rnacentral:rRNA from 1 species
CCCAUGGGGUGCAGCAGGUCCACUCGUUCUUCAUACUCAACGGCAUGAUCCCUGUGAGCGGGGGAUUCUUCGGUGCCAACCUCGGCGCGACAUUCUGGUCUCAUGAUACCCUGGAGGGGGCGGUGCAGGAUGACGAGGGGCUGCGCACACUGAGAAAGACGGUCCGCCGCUUCGCUGAGACAGUUGAGUGGCUCGGCAAUAUGGGGAGGCCAGAGGAGCCGGCGCUGGAAAAAUAAGAUGGGAAAGAUGGUUAUCGUAAGAGGUGAGAGGUGGCAGUCAUGGCAAAGGCUAAAGCGAAGCGCAGGAUAGCCUGGGGGAUCACCGGCAGCGGAGACCGCAUCACUGAGACCGUCCGCACAAUGAUCGAUCUGCAGAAGCAGUACGACGAUGUGGCGGACGUACGCGUCUUCGUCUCGAAGGCGGGAGAGC